rnacentral:RNase_P_RNA from 1 species
GUAAGUCGGGUAGUUAACUCCGGAACUUAGCUUUUAGAUAAGCAAAUUUUGAUAUUUAACAAAAUUUAGUUCUGAGGAAGGUCCGCCCACCAAAUUACAAGUCACUUUCCGAAAGGAUUGUUGUCGUGAGGCAAAGCUCUGGAAAAGAAAUGCCACAGUUCACUCCGAGUAAUGAAUCAAGCGAGGAACUUUGAAGAGUGAGAUUUGAUGAAACAGCCAUCUUGACUGGUGCAAGGCUUUAAGCCGCUUAGUUGAAUGUUAACAUGUUCUGUUCGCGCAAGCGAAGAACAACAGAAGGCGGCCUAUUCCCGGCUUAC